AGAUGACUGUCUUUGUGAAAGGGCGUGUUUCAAAAGUGAUUUCAUAAAAUCUUUAUGGUGCUCUCAACUACCUAUUUUGGGAUUUUUUUUUCACCUAUUUUAUCCUGCUGAUUAGGGAAAGAAGAAAGACUAUGUUGGAUUAAAUGAAUUUUUUCAAACUUAUCUUUGCUCAGAACCGGCUCCUCCAAAAUCACUCUUUGCAGUGAACAAAACCCAGACCUCAGUGACUUUGCUGUGGGUAGAAGAGGGUGUGGCUGAUUUCUUCCAAGUCAUCUGUCAACAAGUUGGCUCUGGCCAGGAAACACAGCUCCAGGAACCAAUUUCUGUUUCUUCUCAUGUCGUGACCAUCUCCAGCCUCCUCCCUGCCACUGCCUACAACUGUAGUGUCACCAGCUUUAGCCAUGACAGCCCCAGUGUCCCUACGUUCAUAGCCGUCUCAACAAUGGGUAAUUAUAGGCAUUAGUGGAAUCAGUGUCUUUAGAAAUUAUAUCUUUCCAAAUUUUCCUCAAGUUUCUUUUUAAAUAUGUGUAAUCCAUCUUUCUAAAUAAAACUCAUGUUUCAUGGAAAAAAAUCCAAGCUUUGGGUUCAAGGAGCCCUUAAUUUUAAUCCCAAAUUGCACUUAUUAGCUGUGUGAUUUAGGGAAAGAUGUUUACUAUCUUGAACCUUUGUUUACUCAUCUGUAAAACUGAAAUACUAAUGUGUACCUUGUUGAGUUGUUUUGAGGCUUACAUGAAGCUCUAGCACAUGCCAUCUAAAUACUAGUUGUUAUCGUCAAUUUCAUCAACCCCAUCAUCCCUUUCGGUGGUAGCCAUGGUACGCUAAUCAAGUCAGGUGCAUCUGUUCCAGCCUUGGCCCUUAGCUGGUCACAGAGCAAGUCAUGGUGAACCUAAAUUACUAGGUCAAAACCGAAAAUUUUCCAAUCAAGCAGAAAGUAUAAUCAGAGAAAUUAGAAAUUAAUGAAAAGUUCAGAACAAUGCUGUUUCCUUAUUCUUUUUCCGAGUUAUAUGUUUUAUUCCCCUUCUUGAGUCUGAUUCUGCAAUCUGAGACUCUCUCUGAAGCUACCUGGAAUAAAACCAUUCUUACCAUUAUAUUAGCCCUUUGCUGGGUUCAUUUUCCUUUGGGUAACAUUGAUCAUAUAUGUAGCUGCUUUAUCCAAUGAUCACUAGAGUGGACUUUUUUGCAGGGGAGGGAGUUGUUUUCUUUUUUUAAUUCUUGUUUUCCGAAGAGAGGGCAAAAUGUACUUGAAAAAUAUAUUAAUGGCUUCUCAUUUCUACAUCCUUUUACACAUUUCUAAAAUAUCAAUGUUUAUUAUUCCUUGUCAUCUCUGCAGCAACUCAAUGACAGGUGAUAUGAUUAAACUUAUUUGCAAGGGAGGAAAAUGAGGCCAGGAGAAACUGAUAAAAUAGCCUCCCCAAAGAGCAGUUAAAAGUCAAGCAAACUUGUACAGUCUCUUCUGACCAUGCAUCUAAUGUUCUUUCUGUUCAAGUACUUCUACUUGGACAAGCUGGAGCCACGCUGGCCCACGUGGGAUGCGGCAAAUACCCAAAGUCUCAGGGGGUUGUGUGAGCCAUCCAGUUCUGUGAUUCUGUGAUCAGUGAGGGGGUAGUGGCUCCUCUUGUCCCCUGGUUCACUUUUAAGAAUUUUGUAAGAAUAUUUGACAUAUAUUCCCCACCUUUAACCUCCUUCUCUCGCAGAUAGUGUGUGAAGUAGGCAACAUGUCAGUGCCAUGAAAGAUGGCUCAUAGUGUAUGAAAGGGACCCAACCUCUGUUCUGAAGGGCCUACAACUUAUUAAUAGGCUUAAUCUCUUGAGCUGUACAGAUGGGAAGCCUCUAAACAUAUGGUUACAGAUCAUCGGAUCUCCUGCAUCUAGCGAUGUGUUAAGUGCUGCAGCAGAUGGUUGCUUGCUAAUGCCUUUUUCAUAUACAUUAUUAGUUGGGGGGGAGAUAUAGAGUUGUGCUUUCUGACUUUAACGUCAAUGAGCCUAAGAUAAGAACAUGCCGCUCUCCAAGUUUUUGAAAGUGUGAAACAAUGAUAAUACACGACAGUGACUUCUAGAUUUUUUUGUUUCCACAUGAACUUAAACCAUGGCCCAGGCAUUCUUUAUACAUGUCAUGGUUUUCCUUUAUAAGAACAUUCUGAGAGUGGGUCUUUGAAAUGGACUCAAUUCUCCCGCCUGAACACCAUUUGUCAAUCUACUUUGCUAAGGGAUGGUUGACCAGGAAGAGGCCACUGCUGGUUUGCAGAAACGUCAUUGUUUUUGUUGUUGUUGUUGGCAUAAGUCCGUUAGUCUGAAGAUUAGAAGAAAAAACGAUGAGUGGUUCUGUUCAUUUCCAUGUCACAGAAGCCGCAAUGAACAUGGGUAGCUUUUCUCUUUAGUUACAGAGAUGAAUCCCAACGUGAUUGUCAUCUCCGUGCUGGCCAUCCUUAGCACACUCUUAAUCGGACUGCUGCUGGUUACCCUCAUCAUUCUUAGGAAAAAGCAUCUGCAGAUGGCUAGGUAAGCUCCGUUUUGCUCAUCUUUACCCAUGGCCUUUCAAACAUUUUUAUUUGUCAUACAUGUAUGGCUUUUGCAGACCUCAGUUGUACAGAGGUGAGUUUCAUUUCAGUGUUUAGUGCCUAUUUCUAGUUCGUGUUCUCCAAGUAGACUUUUAAAUGAUUAUUUGAGAAAACAUUGCCAUUGAAAGAGUAAGGCAAAGGAUUGUUUGUUUACAGAGUCACAUCUCUUACCAUCAGUCUUGUCAUUUUAAGUAGCCCGUAAUACAGAUCCAUUCAUUAUAUGUGGAUACUUGCAAAUAUGUUUUGGAGUAAAGGAAAGAUCUAAAAAAAAAAAAAUCUAUACCAAUUCAGUAUGAUUAAUGAAAGGACUUAAUAUAUGUGGAGACCACAAGAAAGAAAAAUCCCUUCCCUCAUCAGCUAUGUUGAAGCUGUUUUAUCAGAAAAUGUUUGUAUAGUUUAUGAUUAAGUCCCUUUGAGUCCCCUUAUGAGAUCUGUUUCUAUUACACACAGUCACAGGCAGUUUCCAUUUUCUUGCAAUUAGGAAAGGCUUAUGAUUUUGUUGAUUCCCUUUUCCUUCUACCACUGAUGGAUUUCUUUUCUUUUUUUUCCUUUUUCUUUUUUUUUGCGGUGGUGGUGGUGGGGGGGAGGGCACAUCUGCAGCAUGUGGAAGAUUUCAUUGUAUGUCUGCAGAUGAGAGAAAAAUAACAGCGCAAAGUGAGAGAGAUUAGCAGUCAGGGAAAGGUACUCUGGGAAUCAGGUAGGUCUCGUUGAAAGUGUGACAUUUGAGAAAAGACUUGAAGAACAUGAGAAACUUAGUCAUGUGCUAUCUGCAGGAAGAGUGUGCCCAGUAGAGGGAAUAGCCAGAGCAAAGGCCCUGAGGCAGAAGCAUGACUAGAAUGUUUGAGGAAGAGCAGAGGGGUUAGUGUAGCCAAAGCAGAAGAAAUGAAGGGGGGGAAAGCAGGAAAUGCUGUCAGAUUCUAGAGGGCUUUAUAAGCCAUUGUAAGGACGUUGGCUUUUGCACUGAGUAGAGUACAGCCAUUACAGGAUUUGGGGCAGAAGGUCUGACUUACAUUUUAACAUUUUCAUUUUGACUUUUAUGUAGAAAAGAGUCAGUAUUGAAGCAAGGGCAAAAGCAGGCAUAUUAACUGGGGGAAUCAUUACAGUAAUCCAGGCAGAGACGGUAGUGGUUCAGUCCAAAGUAGUAGCCGCAGAGGUGGGAAGAAAUGAUCAGAUUCUGGAUAAAUUUUGAAAAUUAAGGAAUUUGCCCCUAAUUCAAAAAAGACUGAUGGGAAGUUCCCUUGUGACACAGCAGGUUGAGGACCUGGCCUUGUCACUGCAGCAACUCAGGUUGUUGCUGUGUUGAGGGUUCACACCCGGGGACAUCCACAUGCUGCAGGUGUGGCCAAAAAAAAAAAGACUAAUGAGACUAAUGAGUGGUAUCUAGUGGAGUGGAAGGAAAAUUAAUAGAGUGUAGUAGCCUGGAAGCGAGGGAAAGAAAGUAUAUCAAGAUAUCAAGAAGAGAUAAUCAUAGCCUCAUAAUAGGGUCUAGUUAGGAGCAACAGUGCAGUAAUAGCAUAGUAUCAUAGGAAGCAUGUAAUAAAUCUCAGCUUGUAAUGGUAAUAGUGGAGCAGGGGAUAACAGGUAGAAAUGGAAGUAGUGGCAUUUAUGAGGGUAUUUGGCAGCAGCAUCCUUUGUGAGGCAUACGGCAAAAUAGGAGGAGUGACUCUACUUCAGCCAGCUGGUCAUUAGAGCAAAGAUUCUUAACAUUUUUUAUAUAUAUAAUGAUUUUUAUUUUUUCCAUUAUAGCUGGUUUACAGUGUUCUGUCAAUUUUCUACUGUACAGCAUGGUGACCCAGUUACACAUACAUGUAUACAUUCUUUUUUCUCACAUUAUCAGGCUCCAUCUUAUUUUUUGUGCAUGAUUCUCUCUGGCAGUCCAACAAAGCCUGUGGCUCUCUUCCAAGAAUAAUGCUUUCUUUCUGAGUGAAUAAAAUAAAACAUAUAGGAUUAAAAAAGAAAUUAAUGGGAGUUCCCAUUGUAGCUUGGCGGGUUAAGGACACGACCUUGUUUCCAUGAGAAUAAGGGUUUAAUCCCUGGCCUCUCUCAGUGGGUUAAGGAUCCGGCAUUGCUGUGUAGACCCAGAUGUGGCUUGGAUCCAGUGUUGCUGUGGCUGUGGUG
rnacentral:lncRNA from 1 species